rnacentral:lncRNA from 1 species
UUGCUUAUGAGUACAAAAUAAAUAAAUGAAAAUGUACUUAGUAAAUACAUAUACCAUUGAUUUUUAUGGGAUACGCAUUGUACAAAACUAGUUUUAACGAUCCAGCAGUCAAACUUGUUUGUAUAUGCUUCAAGAUCGUAUGCGCCAAAAAUCGUAAAAAACAAACAUUCAGAGAUCAAGUAUGGGACAAAACUUUUCGACGGUUAUGAUCGAAAAAUCACGAUUUAACGGUUAUUUUAACUCUGAUUUUGAUGAUUUUUUACAGCUACACUCUUUAACCCUAUAUGAAUACAAUGAACUAAUUCGAUCAUCAAUUUAAAACAUUUACACAAGUGGAUACCACAAAAGAAAAAUGCAAUGCAAGAACCCCAAAAAAAUAAAAAAAAGA